rnacentral:rRNA from 1 species
CCUACGGGAGGCAGCAGUGAGGAAUAUUGGUCAAUGGACGAGAGUCUGAACCAGCCAAGUAGCGUGAAGGAUGACUGCCCUAUGGGUUGUAAACUUCUUUUAUAUGGGAAUAAAAUGUUCCACGUGUGGGAUUUUGUAUGUACCAUAUGAAUAAGGAUCGGCUAACUCCGUGCCAGCAGCCGCGGUAAUACGGAGGAUCCGAGCGUUAUCCGGAUUUAUUGGGUUUAAAGGGAGCGUAGGUGGAUUGUUAAGUCAGUUGUGAAAGUUUGCGGCUCAACCGUAAAAUUGCAGUUGAAACUGGCAGUCUUGAGUACAGUAGAGGAGAGCGGAAUUCGGGGUGUAGCGGUGAAAUGCUUAGAUAUCACGAAGAACUCCGAUUGCGAAGGCAGUUCACUGGACUGCAACUGACACUGAGGCUCGAAAGUGUGGGUAUCAAACAGGAUUAGAUACCCGGGUAGUC